GUGGGGAAUAUUGCACAAUGGGGGAAACCCUGAUGCAGCAACGCCGCGUGAAGGAAGAAGGUUUUCGGAUCGUAAACUUCUAUCAACAGGGACGAAGAAAGUGACGGUACCUGAAUAAGAAGCCCCGGCUAACUACGUGCCAGCAGCCGCGGUAAAACGUAGGGGGCAAGCGUUAUCCGGAAUUACUGGGUGUAAAGGGUGAGUAGGCGGCAUGGUAAGCCAGAUGUGAAAGCCCGCAGCUUAACUGCGGGACUGCAUUUGGAACUACUAAGCUAGAGUACAGGAGAGGUAAGCGGAAUUCCUAGUGUAGCGGUGAAAUGCGUAGAUAUUAGGAAGAACACCGGUGGCGAAGGCGGCUUACUGGACUGAAACUGACGCUGAGGCACGAAAGCGUGGGGAGCAAACAGG
rnacentral:rRNA from 1 species